rnacentral:rRNA from 1 species
CGCGUAGGCGGUUCGAUAAGUCAGAUGUGAAAGCCCGGGGCUUAACCCCGGAAGUGCAUUUGAAACUGUCGAACUUGAGUAUGGGAGAGGGAAGUGGAAUUCCUGGUGUAGAGGUGAAAUUCGUAGAUAUCAGGAGGAACAUCGGUGGCGAAGGCGACUUCCUGGACCAAUACUGACGCUGAGGCGCGAAGGCGUGGGUAGCAAACA